rnacentral:rRNA from 1 species
GCCAGCAGCCAUACUGUACCACCCUGCAGCUCACUGGAGCUCAGCAGGGUUGAGCCUGGUCAGUACCUGGAUGGGAGACCUCCUGGGAAGCUAUGGUUGCUGCUGGAA